rnacentral:rRNA from 1 species
UGGGGAAUCUUGGACAAUGGGCGCAAGCCUGAUCCAGCCAUGCCGCGUGAGUGAAGAAGGCCUUAGGGUUGUAAAGCUCUUUCGGCGGGGACGAUAAUGACGGUACCCGCAGAAGAAGCCCCGGCUAACUCCGUGCCAGCAGCCGCGGUAAUACGGAGGGGGCUAGCGUUGUUCGGAAUUACUGGGCGUAAAGCGCACGUAGGCGGACUGUUAAGUCGGGGGUGAAAUCCUGGGGCUCAACCUCAGAAUUGCCUCCGAUACUGGCAGUCUCGAGUGCGGGAGAGGUGAGUGGAAUUCCCAGUGUAGAGGUGAAAUUCGUAGAUAUUGGGAAGAACACCAGUGGCGAAGGCGGCUCACUGGCCCGUAACUGACGCUGAGGUGCGAAAGCGUGGGGAGCAAACAGGAUUAGAUACCCCUGUAGUCC